AGUGAACGCUGGCGGUAGGCCUAACACAUGCAAGUCGAACGGCAGCACAGUAAGAGCUUGCUCUUACGGGUGGCGAGUGGCGGACGGGUGAGGAAUACAUCGGAAUCUACUUUUUCGUGGGGGAUAACGUAGGGAAACUUACGCUAAUACCGCAUACGACCUACGGGUGAAAGCAGGGGAUCUUCGGACCUUGCGCGAUUGAAUGAGCCGAUGUCGGAUUAGCUAGUUGGCGGGGUAACGGCCCACCAAGGCGACGAUCCGUAGCUGGUCUGAGAGGAUGAUCAGCCCACCUGGAACUGAGCCACGGGCCAGACCCCUACGGGGGGCAGCAGGGGGGAAUAUUGGCAAAGGGGCGCAAGCCUGAUCCAGCCAUGCCGGGUGGGUGAAGAAGGCCUUCGGGUUGUAAAGCCCUUUUGUUGGGAAAGAAAAGCAGCAGGUUAAAACCCCGCUGUUCUGCCGGUACCCAAAGAAUAAGCACCGGCUACCUGCGU
rnacentral:rRNA from 1 species